rnacentral:rRNA from 1 species
CAGUCGCCACGGUAAUACGAAGGGUGCAAGCGUUACUCGGAAUUACUGGGCGUAAAGCGUGCGUAGGUGGUGGUUUAAGUCCGUUGUGAAAGCCCUUGGCUCAACCUGGGAAUUGCAGUGGAUACUGGGUCACUAGAGUGUGGUAGAGGAUAGUGGAAUUUCCGGUGUAGCAGUGAAAUGCGUAGAGAUCGGAAGGAACAUCUGUGGCGAAGGCGACUAUCUGGGCCAACACUGACACUGAGGCACGAAAGCGUGGGGAGCAAACAGGAUUAGAUACCCCGGUAGUCCCUGUCUCUUAUAC